rnacentral:tRNA from 1 species
GGAUGUGUAGCUCAGUGGUUGAGUACAUCCUUUGUAUGUAUGAAGUCUUGUGUUUGACAUCAAGCAUGUUCA